AGCAGAACCCUGCAAGACGUGUGCACAGUGCUGUUCCCGCAGCGCCCCGCCGCUCCCCAGCAUCCUGCUGCAGGGAUGCAUGCAGCACAGCCAGACAUGCAGCCCAGGAUGAGAGCGAAGAUAGAAAUAAUUUUGCUGUGGAUCCAAAUGGUGGCAUCGUGCUGUACUGACUUCGUCUCUUGUCUUCAUUCCACUAGCUUUUCACAAGGACGUGCUUUGGAGGCAUGACUUUACAAAGGUGUUGCUUUACAAUCUUUUUAAAAAUGAGUUAUUUCAGCAUAAAACUAUGUAAAAAUUACGCCUUGUGGAUGCACAAUGGUAUUUUUAUUGCAUUCUUAGAUACGGCUCACUGAACAGUAAAACCAAUUUUCAUGUGAUCUUAAAGAGGGCAGAAGUCUUUGUCACGCUUUGAAAAAUAACUUUUGCACAAAUUUGUUUAUUGGAGUUAUUAAUUUCUGUGAAUAUUCAGGCAGUGCUCCGUUGGCCUUAGCAGCGACAAAGAAAGAAUGGCAAGCAGAUUUUAUUAAACUAGAUUACAUUGGAUGGCUUACAUUUCCUUUCUCUGUUCAUCCAUUUAAAAGAAAAGAAAAUGCAACACUUCAUCUGAUACCAGUUCUGUUGCGUGAGUCCAACUGAGGGAUUGCUCAAGGGUACCUUUGUACCACGUCAAACUUCAGGAUUUUUACUACUCCAGCACAGUGGACUGUGACAGAGAUACAGGUAAUAUUAAUCACCAUGGAAUCAUAGAAUGGCCUGGGUUGAAAAGGACCACAAUGCUCAUUCAGUUUCAACCCCCUGCUGUGUGCAGGGUCACCAACCAGCAGACCAGGCUGCCCAGAGCCACAUCCAGCCUGGCCUUGAAUGCCUCCAGGGAUGGGGCAUCCACAGCCUCCUUGGGCAACCUGUUCAGUGCGUCACCACCCUCUGUGUGAAAAACUUCUUCCUAAUAUCCAACCUAAACCUCCCUUGUCUCAGUUUAAAACCAUUCCCCCUUAUGCUAUCACUAUCCACCUUCGUAAACAACCGAUGCCCCUCCUGUUUGUAUGCUCCCUUCAAGUACUGGAAGGCCAAAUAAAGGAAAUAUCCACAUUUUCCUCAGUUCUUCUCACUGGAGAAUUGAGAAUCUGU
rnacentral:lncRNA from 7 species